AUUGAUUACCGCUGCUGGAAGGCUGUGCGUAAUUAGACAUCAUACCGUAUAUAUUGCCGCAGAGCUUCUUCAUACUGUUCAACUCUUUGUUGAGCUGUAAAUUCUCCAAUCUUAACCGUUCGUUUUCUCCUAAAAGCUCCGCUGUGCUCCCUGCAGAUGAGUUUGAUGAUAUAACUUGCUCUUCACAGGAAUCCGAGGUAGAUACCGUCACCGGAGGUUGAGCAGGCGGAGGUGGUGGCGCCGGCNNNNNNNNNNNNNNNNNNNNNNNNNNNNNNNNNNNNNNNNNNNNNNNNNNNNNNNNNNNNNNNNNNNNNNNNNNNNNNNNNNNNNNNNNNNNNNNNNNNNNNNNNNNNNNNNNAUCCCGUCCCGGGAGGUUGAGCGGGCGGAGGUGGUGGCGCAGCCACAAUCGCCACCGCUGUUGCAGCAGCGGAAGGAGUAGCAAUCGCUGUCACAACCUUUCGACGCUGGAUAUCAAUUAAGUGACUUCUUUCACCUCUCCGGAAGCUGUCGUUUGCGAAUUCCCAUCGAUCAGGUACGACUUUCCGAAAUCCCUGCAUAACCGAAGAAAAGCUUAAUUUAAUCCAUAUCCCUCAGGUCUAAUCUUAGGAUUUCAGAUAAAAAGGAACUUACAUAGGUGUUGAGCUGCCUAACGAAGCUAGAAAAAUUAUUAUGUUUAAAAUAUUUAGGAAGCAAAUCUUUAGCAAACUCCGCCGGAUUCCACACGAUGAAAGUAGAUCCGUCUUCAUUCCAAGAGAUCACGUCGUCAAUAGAUUGAUCCUCGAUGAGCUGGUAGGUCUUUGUUAAAAACGGUGUCGGCACGGACCUCUGCGUUUCACCGGCCGUCGUCUCUCCUCCGUUCCGGUCUAUUGGCUGUGGAGUCAUAUCUUCUUAUCACCUGAAAAGCUAAUCAAGUCCGUAUUGAAUUCAACUCAUCAAAAACCAUUUUCCAGCUAAUAUAAUAAUAGUAACACCAAAACUACGUACUUGAGUGAAGAUCGAUGAUUCUAUUCUCGCAGAUCUGGAGCCAAAACUACAGAGUUCCGAGAAAGACGACCGUCGGAAUUUUCGGUGAUUCUAGAAGUUUCCGGCGCCACAUAGAGGUGCGUGGGUGUGGGGUGGGUAGGAACAAGGAGAGAUGGGAAGAUAAUUGGAAAAUUCGAGAAGGAAGAAAUAGAGAAAGGGGAAAAUAUUAUAAAAGAAAAAAGCGAGAGUAAAAAGAAAGAAGCAAAAGCUACAUUAUUUUAUUAAAAAUAGAACUAAAGUAGUAGACAAACGUAUUGUCUUUCGUGAAGCUUCUUUUGAUGACAGGCUCUACGCACCCACAGAUGAAUAGGCGAUGUAUAUUUGGGCUACUCUAAUUUAUUUUAAACAAAAUAGAGUAAACAAUAUUUAUUUAUUUUAACAUAGGAAUUGGUUUGGUAACGAAACUACUCGCACCACUAUUGUUUCAUUUUACUUGAUCCUAAUAUCAAAAUUUACUAUAGCAAAUAAAGAUGUUUUUUUUUCUUACUAGCUUUAGUAUUAAAUAAUUAUAUAAGUAGUCAAAUUUAGAAUUUUAAAACUGAAUAAAAAUCAUUCCUAAUUAAAAUUUUAUUAAUAUAAUGACUAAUAUGCAAUUCAUGUAUCAUGCAGAGGCGUAAGGCGUAUCUAGAGGGGGUGCCGUGGGUUCACGUGAACCCAUGCUCCCCUCUCUAGAUCAUAUAUAGUAGUGUUAUAUUUUUAAAAAAAUAUUUAAAUAUAGAUAUGUGAACUCAUGUUCAAAGUAUCAUAUAAAAAUGCGAUGAUGAUUUGGUGCACUUCUCUAAGUGAGAGAUAGAAAUUUAAAUCUUAUAUUUAUCUUGUCUCUUUGAGUAAUACUUUUUCAAGUGGUUAUCAUUACGGACUUUUUAUCGGUUUCAACUAAUUUUCUUUGUUUUUCCUUAUUCUUUCAAAAUUUUCAAGUGUGUUACAUUGAGAAUUCCUAAAAAAAUUAGCAUUGUAAAUUUUUUAUAUAAUUAAAUCAAAUGUGUAUAUUAAAAGUUAAAACUAGUAGUAUUAUAUAUUUUGGACCUAUAAUUUUAAACUUUAAUGAUUCAUAUUACGAACUAAAAGUCAAAUCGAUCAAAUUUAUAUUAGAGAUACAUUUUUUCGUAAUCGUGCAUCCAUCUAACCGAAAUUCUGGAUACGCCUCUGGUAUCAUGUAUGCACAUAAUCGAAGACUCAUGUGAACGUUGGACUCUUUACAGACCUAGGUCACUUUAUGUAUAAAAGUAAUUAAGUCAAAUCUCUAUAGUAAAAGAUUUAGUGCAAAAUAUAGAAGGAUAAAGACUUACUUGAUGUGAGAAAAUAUUUUUGAAUGAUCAAAAGACAUACAAUGAAUAAUAUGACAUAACUGAAAUCUUAAUGAAUUAAGUCAAACAUAUAUAAUGAUUCAUUGAUCUAUUCAUUAUCAACCUGUUCACCUAAAAAAAUAAGAGUAAAUUAGACAUAACUAUCAACUUAAACUAUAUUAACUUAAUGCGUUUAUGUAUUACGUGGAUAGUAGAGGUUUGAUGGGUUUGGCAUGAUCCAUAUAACUAUUAACUGAAACUAUGCUACAACAACACAUUUAUGUAUUACGUCGAUAAUAGAGGUUUGGCAUGAUCUAUAUAAAAAAAAAUGGAGGGGAAAUUAUCUUUGGCAUGAAGUAGCCCACUUGUUUAUUUUUGAAGAAAAAAAGUUGGAAUGAUGGAAGGUGUGUUUGCCAGCUGUCCUGUGCUAUUUUUGGUACCGCAAAAUAGGACGAAAUACUGGGAAUUUGGACUAUUUUGGCCUGGCCUAAUCAACUUGCAACUCAAUUAUAUCCUAAAGAUUUUAUCGGACGCUCUAUUUUCAUCGCCUCGAUUUAAGUGAUAUUCGCUUUACUUAUUUGCACUCUUGUUUCUUCUGCUUCUACAUUUGUAUCUGUAUUUUGGUUAAUUUUAAUGUACUCAUAUUUUAAUCAUGUAUAAUUACUAUAAUGAGUUUGUUAGAUUUGAAACACUUUUAAUGCUUCUAGGUCUUUUUCAAAACACUAUUUAGAAAAUACAUUUGUAGCACUUUUUAAAAACCUAUCAAUAUUUUAAAUUAAUUAAUCAAUACAAACAAUUUUUCACCAAAUGUUUAUUUUAAAGUUUUGAUUAAACAAGUUGUUAUAAGUACUUUUAAAUGUUUAGUGAAAUAUUAAGUUGUUUAAGGUUGUUUUUAAAAUUGAUUUAUCAAGUACUUAAUUGUUUCUUAACAUAAAUAUUUUUUUUGUAAGAAAAGGCUCAUAAAAUUAGCCAUUUUACAGGCCUCAUGUAAUUAAAAAUAGUCACGGUUAAAAUAUUGUAGUGAAUGAUCCAGAAUUCCAACCGUACUAUUUGGAAUUUCAAAAUCCCACCUCCAAAGAAAAGAAUUUAGAAUUUCAAAUUGCUAAAAAAAUUUUCAAGUGUAAAACUUGACACAUAAUUAUUUUAUAAGAAAAGGCUCAUCAUUUUUUAAAUUCGAAAAUGCAGGUGAAAAAAUGUUUGUAUUAACGAAGGAUUAGUUACUACUGAUGUUGAUUAAUGAAUCUUUAUUAAAUUACAUAUAUUUGAAAGUCAGUAAUCACAAACAUUUAUAAAAGAAAUAUGGAGAUAUGUUAUUUAUUAAUAUAACAUCUUAGAAUAUUUUGAUAUAUCGUUUAUAAUCUAUAAUUUACUUAUUUGGUAAGAUUAUACAAAAAUUGAAAUAUUUUUAACCGUUUCCACAACUUGUAGGGUCACAUGUUUAUAAAAAAAAAAAUAUACAACUUAAGUAAUUCAAAUUGCAUGUUCAGACAAAACUUUAACUUCAAAUCAUAUCCAAACGUAAUAGAUUAUUUUUCAAGAUAUAGUUGACAAGUAGCCGGUAAUUGUUAUUUCUACCCAUUAUAUGAAUCACUUUUCUUGCAAUACUGGACUUAAUUAUAUACUUGAAUUAGGAAGACAAAAUGUAGCACUAAGAAUAAGGAGAAAAACUUUUUAAAACAUUUGUUAUGUUGCUCUCCCAUUGUGAAGGGAGGGUUCUCAUUUAUCUGGAAGACAAUAGGAUUGUAACCCGGGGCGGAGGUAUCCUUGCCUAAUGGGUGUCAAGCAACACCUCUUCGCCAGAAAAUUACAUUGUAUAUAUAUGUUAAAUUUUGUUUUAAUUAAUAUAUAUAUAUACAACUUGUUACACCAACCAUUUCUUUUUUCUUUUUUGAACAACUAAAAUGAUAUGCACAUUACUAGCUUUCUGGUAUAUGUCAUUCUUAAUGUUUUGACACCCCUUAAUGAAAUUUUUGACUCCACCACUGCAUUGUUGACACAUACAAACAUAGAAAGGGAUACCACCAACUACCAAGAAAGAAGAAAAUGUUUUGUAGCCACACAUUGACCCUGGGACCUCUUGAGUUUAUGUUGUAAUUCACAGCCAUCCAUCUACAGGUCUGGAUUACACAAUAUAUCCAAGUUUCUCUAUAAGCUUAUCCAAUUUGGAUUUGCAAUUUAGAUGGAGAAUGAAAAAAAAAAAAACUUUCAUUUAUCCAAGGAAGUUGACCGUCUCUUUGUAGGGAAAACGCCUUACAGAAGCAUUUCAUCUGUCCAUAUACAAGUUGCACCACUAGCAACAUAUUUAAUUCCACAUGUGGGAUCCGAGGAAGGUAGUUAACCGUACCUUCGGAGGUAAAGAGGUUGUUUCUGAUAUACUCUCGGCUCAAGGAAAAUCAUAUAAGGCAGAUUGGAAAAGAAAUAACUGAAGUGAAUGAAUCAUGGCAAAAUACUGUAGUAAGCAUGACAAAGUAUUCUGAAAAAGGGAACAGUAACUACACCAAAAAGGGUGUGACAAUUGAAGUACAAAAUACAAUAGAUAGUAACAGAAAUCAACGGUGUCUCACUUGAAUUAUUGCAUGUCUCAGGCGAAAAUUAAAUAUGUCAAGACAAUUCUUGAUCUAAUAGCAACUGAAUUAAGCAGGAUGGAUAUCUACUAGAACAUUAAGUUCUUGCCUAGCCAGCAAAACACAUGGACUGUUGACAAAUAACAUAUAUGGACAGCAGAAGAAAUCAUCUAAAGUUCAAGUAGUGUGGACAGCAGCAGAAGUUUCUAAUGUUAAAAGAAAUAUAGUUUGAUCACAGCUUCAUAUAAAGUUAGUAAAAUUAAGCAACAUCAGCAAGCUGAACCUGAAGCUUUCCUGCUACAUUGUCUCUAUCCCAAAUAUUGAACAUUGUAAAACUUCAUUUGUCAUAAACCAAAGCAGCCUUUAUAAUUUGAUGGAUAACAGAUAUGCAACUCUCCAAUUCUUCUCAUAGUUCUUAAGCUGCAUCGAAAUAACAUCUUGCAAGUGCCAGUAAUAACUAGCUUUAAGCAAAUACCUAAUGAUUCUUUUUUUAUAAUUAUGAAAUUCUAAUGAAUAAAGUAUGACUAUUUAUUGUUUGUCUCCUACAAAUGUUGCACAGAACAUACUUGAAUUACCAAAAGCCAACAUAUAAUCAUACUCAAACCCCUCCUACAUGCAAACAAACUCUAACCACGAAGGUAGGGUCACACAUUAUCUGGAUGAUAUCAUAAGAUAUACAUAGAAAGGGCCACGACUAAGAAAUGUGUAUUCUAUAGCUCCCCCACCACCCCCAAAAAAAAAACUUUAUCUUCCCUACCUUGAUAUGGAUCCCAUGGCUCCUCAAUAUUUAUGUUCAUAUGUGUCCAACAGACUCUAAAUUCAUAGCCAUCCAUCUUUAGGCCUUGAUUGCAGAAUGUGGCCAGAUUUCACGCAGCUUAUCCAUUGUGAGUUUACAGUAAGAUAAAGACAGAUGAGAAUGAAUUUUCCACGUUUUCACAAAAGGUGCGACGACGUCAUUCUCAUUGUUUCUUUGCAGGCAAGUGCUUCCAAAGAAGCAUUCCGUCUCCCUCUCCUCCUCUACUUUUCUCUGAGUUCAUUUCAGAAAAGAACAUGGUGCCUCAAUAAUUUCAUGUAAUGCUUUGUUCCUCUUUUACCACACCUAAGAUACUAAAGAAUUGAAAUAACUCCUAAUUACCAACUUAUACUAAUACUAAACUAGCAACUGAAUGAACACACUCAAACCUCAAGCGUGAGCCUUAACCGUCUCAUACUCUCAUUGGACUUUUAAGAAAUUACAACAACUAUGUUUUUUCCCCAAACAAGUUGGGGUGAGCUAAAUGAAUCAGAAUUGACCAUGUUACUCCUAUUUAUCCCAUCUCAUGCAAAAUUAUGCAGCUACAAAUAAAAAGUAUUAGAAGUUCUCUAUAUUUUUGUUUUUUUUUGACAAAGGUAACAAAGAAGUUCUCUAUAUUUCUGAACGAUAUCCUCAAGGUUAAAUAACUCCUAGAAAGCAUAGGACCUACUGUAAAAGUGCUACAAUGUUUAAAGCAUAUUAUCCACUGAUAGGUUUUAAAGAUCUUUUCUUCCAUUCUGUCUUAUCUUUCACUAAGUUUAUACGAAACUAUGGAUCGCCAGAGACUGCAGGUCCUUCAAGAUAACUUCCUACCAUGUGAUUUUAGGUCUACCUCGUCCUCUUUUAAUACCUUUACUCACUAUGGUUUCGUAAAACAUACCUACAGACUGGUGCAUUCAGAGGUCGAAGCAUGACAUGACUAAACCAUCACAAGUGACUUUUUCAGAAAUUACUAAGCAACUAAAAUUUAAAAAUUAAAAGGAAAAGAGACUGAUAGGAUGUCAUUAAAAUUGAGCAAGCUAGCAUUCCCAUUGCACUAAAGGGUAAAGGGGAAAAAGAAACAGGGAAUAACAAUACCACAUUUUAAACUACUAGGAAAAUGUGUUUCUGAACAUAGAAAGCUUGCAACUUCCUGGCAUCAAUAUAUCCACUCUGUUAAUAUUAUGUGUAUUUGUUCAUAGGCAAAUAAAUGGGGACAGAGAAUCUAGUGAAUUUUUAUGCCAACAAUAACACACCUAGACAAUUAAGAUGUAUAGAUUGCACCAUAGGAAAGAAAUCAGAAUUCUAUUCUAAGCAUGAUUUUAAUAUGUCAAGACAAGGCUUGAUCUCGUAGCAAGUGAAGGAGGACCAAUAUCUACUCUAACAUGAGAAUCUAGCAUAGCCAGCAAAACAUUAGUGCUGUUAACAAACAAACUAUAAACACCUCACGAACACUACCUAAAAAUCAAGAAAUAUAGUGUGGUCACAGUUUUGAUGACAUGAGUUGAGCUGGAACCCUUGAGGAUUCAUAUAGACAACCCUAACUUUUGAGACUGAGGCAUAGCUAUUUCUUUUUGAGAGUGUGAUCACAGUUUCAUAUAAAGCUACGAGAAUAAGGUGAGUAAGCUGAACUCUUAUAAAAAAAAAAGGUGAGUAAGCUGAACUUGAUGAUUUCCUACUUUUUUUUUAUUAAGUAAGAUGUAUUAGAAAGGCAUCAAGGAGAUGCAAAUUACAUACACAAAAACAUGGUUAACUCCUGAGAACAAAAACACUUAUUUAAUCAGGGAGUUAACCACAAGCAAAAGAAUGGUCGCUAAGCCACAUUGAGGGAGCUAAUGAAAUCUAAGAGGGGUAAUAAAUCAUUACCUACUACAUUGUCUUUAGCUCAAAUGAUGAAACUUGGUAACUUCAUUUGUGGUAGAUUAAGUUGGUCUUCUAUAGAUAAACUGAUAACAGGACUCGGACUUGCCAGUAAUAGAUACUGUUAAGCAAUAUCUGGUUUUUGAUCAGUAAGAAACAUUAAGGUAGUAUUUAUCCUUGUCUCCUAUAAUGUCGCACACAACAUACUUGAAUAACCCAACAUAAAAUCAUACCCAAACUGACCUUCACACAAACUUCUUGAAACAAUUUCUACUUCUAACAUAUAGCAAUAGUACCUUAGAUUUUGAAAUUUUCAGAGCUACAAUCAUCUGCGAAAGAGAUCCACUGUCUAAUAUCAAGAUUAUAAAAUAGUGUUAACUUUGCAGCCAUAACAAAACAAAUCCAAAUAAAGUAAUGAACUAUUUAAUUUUUACUAAUUUUGAACUUGGUACCACUUUGCAUCUACUAAUUGAACUAGAUUCCUAAUGUUAGCUUUCCAUUUACAGGAGUCAAAUGCAUAUAGUCAAAAGAUUACUUCAGUGAUGGCAGCAAUUUCAUCUGAAGUUUAACAAAGCAACGUAAGUGUUCGAUAUGCAAUAAUUUAGUUCCUCCUAAACAUACAGUGAGUCACUUACCCGCAAGGCAAAGCCAGAUUCAAUUAAUUCUUUUGCUGCUCCAGUAAAAUCUAUUGUGAAUUCACAAAGCAACAUUGACUGGAAAGGUAUAGUUUACUGCCAAACUACCCAGGCCACAGGACCAUGCUAACUGUUCUGCAUAUUUGCAUGAGACGACCAAUGGAAAAUAUAAACACAGAAGAAGCCUGCUUUUCAUAUUCUACAAUAUACAAAUGAAUCAUGCUCUGUAAAAUAUAAAUUAUCGGAAACGUCUUUGAUUAUGCAGGGCAUUCUUAUUGGUUAACUCAGAACUAAAAAUACAUGCACAUAAAGCAUGUAAAUGUUAAGGCAAGGUCACAAGUUCUGAGUGAAAUAUCAUGCCACAGUUCAAACUGUUACCACAAAGGAUCUUAAAUUUGAUCAUUUGUUUCAUCCUUAGCUCGUGAGUUCUCAAGCCUUGAUUUUUUAUUUUUAUAAUAAGCUAAUAAAGAAUGCGUAAAUAAUAGAAAGUUCUAGAGCCUUGAGCUAGGAGCAUGGCAUACAAUCUAUUAGUUUGAUAUAAAAUACUAACUAAGCUGUCUAGCAUAAAAAUUGCAUAAUGUGCUCUUUCCAUACAUCAGAAGGCAAAAAAUGAGAGGAGAAAACAAAAUAGUAUUCUAUAAAAAUUCAGAAGUUUAUCACAAAAUAUUCUAAUAAAAAUUUCAAAAGUGUCACAAAAUUGAAACUCUUAGUGGAAGGAAUAUUUUGAGGGAAAAAAAAAAGAACAGUUGAAGGGUUGUAUAGUUACAUUGUGACACACUUGUCGAAAAGCUCAUAAAAUGAGAGACCUCGGCUUCUUGAUGUGAGUCGAGUAAACAAUAGAUCAAGAUACACACAAGAUUCCCUGUCUAAAUAGAGCAAGAGUGACUGAAGUAUAUAUUGUCCAAACAAAAAGAACCCACCAGGCCAUAAACAAAGCCACCUCUUUGUCUAGCAGAGAACAAGGCAAUACGCUACAUACCCCUUCGUAAUUUGUAAGCAAAUCGUCACCAAGUUGAGACAAGCCAAGGAAGAUAAGUACCAUUGAUGCAGGCAAAAAGAAUUGCAGAACCACAAGGCAUACAAAGUGAUUGUGCAGGAACACCUUGGCCCUACUAUAAGCUAAGUCAGGAACUUUGCUAGCGUGCAGUCUUUGAUACCAACACAAUACUGCUUCAUUCAAGUACAUCUGCACGUUUGAUCGCAACGAUACAAUCUGCAAUAAGCCCGAAACCAACAAACACCAUAGCCUAAAGCUACUAAAUUCCGACUUCUGCAUACCCACAUUUCCAACCAACUUUGUAACAUUUUCAAUUCUUGAAUUUUUAUCAAUAAGUAAUAGGUCAGUAAACGGUUUCACCCAAAGCAUUGAUGUCAAAACCAUGACCAAAUAGUUAGCAUGAAGAAGCAAUCGCGCAAACCAUCCACACGAAACAAUAGGCAAAUUACAACGAAGCUGAUCAGUUCCAAGCCAAAAGGCAUGAGCAAUUCUCACUGCUGGCAUAUACAAAAAACAUGAAAUACAGCCCAUGAAAAUUGCAAUAAACAACUUCUCAAACCCAUGUAAUGCUUCAAAAUGAACAUCAAAAACCCAUUUAGGAACUGCCCCAUGUACAGUACCAAGCGAUACAAUAAACCCAAGAAAACCCAAAAGAACACUCAAAUGCUUCUCCGACAGCUUAGAUGCAGAUCUUUCAAACGAAACCCUAAAAAUCAAAACGAAAAUCCUGCCAACACCCAAAAACCCAAAUAAAAUCGGAACAAAAGAACCGCUCUUUAACACCCCAGACUCUUCAGAUUUCGGCAAGAAUCGAUGAAGCAACAAACAAGAAAGAGAAACAAGAAUAGAAUUAAAAACACUACGAAAAUCCUCGAAAUAAAUCCUUGUCUGAAGAUGACCAUCACUAAGCUUUAACCUAAAGAUCUGAGCUUUAUUUUCAUCAAACUCAAAUCUUUCUUUGGAUUUCUUUCUGGGUUUGAGCUCAGAAUCAUUAGUGCCUGGCCUUCGAAUGGCUGCCCGAACCCCAUUUGAAGAUGCAUUGUUUGGAGCAACAUCAUCAGGGUGAACAUAAGUGAAAAGACCAGAGAGCAAAAGUGCAGGGAUCUUG
rnacentral:lncRNA from 1 species